rnacentral:rRNA from 1 species
AUACGUAGGCGGCAAGCGUUGUCCGGAAUCAUUGGGCGUAAAGGGAGCGCAGGCGGAACAUUAAGCGGAUCUUAAAAGUGCGGGGCUCAACCCCGUGAUGGGGUCCGAACUGAGGUUCUUGAGUGCAGGAGAGGAAAGCGGAAUUCCCAGUGUAGCGGUGAAAUGCGUAGAUAUUGGGAAGAACACCAGUGGCGAAGGCGGCUUUCUGGACUGUAACUGACGCUGAGGCUCGAAAGCCAGGGUAGCGAACGGGAUUAGAUACCCCGGUAGUCCUGGCCGUAAACGAUGGAUGCUAGGUGUAGGGGGUAUCGACCCCUCCUGUGCCGGAGCAAACGCAAUAAGUAUCCCGCCUGGGGAGUACGACCGCAAGGUUGAA